UACGGAGAGAGACGGCCACCAAAAUGAUAAUGCAGGACUAGAGAGAUGUGAUUGUCGUAGCACCAAGACAACGGGGCAGGGUGCUUCUGUGGCAUCGCCUACAAAUCCUACAUAUACAUAUGCUCUCAUCGGCUUCUUAGGCUUCUGCAUCCAACAGAAGGGAUCUCCAUAUGAAACAGUCCACGGCACUCGCUUGAUGAACCUAUUAAUUAUCUCGAUAUCGGCUCACGUUUUCUGUAUAAAUAUGAUUCCAACAGCUGGUGGCGGUGAUGAUGCAGAUUUGGAAGAUUUGAUGAAAUAUGUUUUCCUCUUACUUGGAUACCUGCCUCCGAUUAUCGAAUUGAUCAUCCUUACAGAAAAGUUUGGAUUGUUUAUACUCUCCGUCUGGAGCAUCUGCCUUUUAUUGUUCGUGUGUAAGUAUCACCAGUCUCUGCUAACACU